GGCCCGGUGGCAGAGUGGUUAUGCAGCGGUUUGCAAAACCGUUUACAUCGGUUCAAUUCCGGUCCGGGCCUCCA
rnacentral:tRNA from 1 species